rnacentral:lncRNA from 1 species
UACCUAGCCAAUAACCUUUUCCUGGGAUAUGCGAACCUUUACGAAACUCAAAAAAAAAGAAACAUGUCAGAACACCAAAUCAGGGUGCAAUCGAAGAUUACACCGGAGAAAUAUCACAACAAUAAAUAGGAUAGGAUGAAUAAUGCAUGGCUAUGAUAAAACAUAAAAAAAAGAAUAGAAAAGUCAGCUACUGUCUCGUUCGCCUCUGCCUCGCCUAGCGAAGGCCA